rnacentral:lncRNA from 1 species
UCGUAUAUGUAAUACAUAUUUUGUUGGGAUCAAUCUAUAUAAACAAUGAGAUAUUUAAUUGCUUUUUCAUUAAGGGUGAAGCUAAAACAGUUUUUUAGGGCCGAAUGAAAUUUUAACUUUUUUAUAGUCUAUGUCUAAUUUUUAAAAAAAUUAAAUUAAAUUAUUAUAAUUUUAGGGAGUAAAGUGUAAUUUUCUAUUUUAGGGAUUCGCCUAUGUUCUUCA